rnacentral:tRNA from 1 species
UAAAAUAAAGCGAUAUAAAUUGCAUUCAGUUUCGGCCUGAAUUUAGAAAUAUUUCUAUUUUUUAA